rnacentral:rRNA from 1 species
CAGCCGCCUAAGGUGGGACAAAUGAUUGGGGUGAAGUCGUAACAAGGUAGCCGUAUCGGAAGGUGCGGCUGGAUCACCUCCUUU